ACAUAGCCUUUAGUUUUCCCAAUAUUAAAAAGUAACGCCUGCCCCAGUGAAACUUUUAAACGGCCGCGGGUAUCCCUAACCGUGCAAAAGGUAGGGGUAAUCACCUGUCUUCUAAAUAAAAGACCUGUAUGAACGGCUAAAUGAGGAUUUAACUGUCUCCUUUAACCAAUCAGUGAAACUGANUUUUCUAGUACAAAAGCUAGAAUGAUAUUAUAAGACGAGAAGACCCUGUGGAGCUUUAAAUCUAAACCAAAAUAUGCUCACCCCGCAUAUUUAUGAUACNUUCUAUNUUUAAGUUGGGGCGACUUCGGAGAAAAACACAACCUNCCGAGCACAAGAGGUUUANUUCCUAAAUACAGGCCUACUAGCCUAUACUAACAUUGACCCAGCACCGCUGAUCAACGAACCAAGUUACCCCAGGGAUAACAGCGCCAUCUUCUUCAAGAGUUCAUAUCGACNAANGAAGGUUUACGACCUCGAUGUUNGGAUCAGGACACCCCNAAUGGUGUAGCCGCUAUUAAAGGUUCGUUUGUUCAACGAUUAAUAGUCCUAC
rnacentral:rRNA from 1 species